GCCAGUGUGGCGGAGUGGUUUGAGCAUUGGACUACAACUCUGGAGACCAGGGUUCAAAUCCCUGCUUGGCU